rnacentral:rRNA from 1 species
CAGCAGCCGCGGGAAUACGUAGGUGGCAAGCGUUGUCCGGAAUUAUUGGGCGUAAAGGGCUCGCAGGCGGUUUCUUAAGUCUGAUGUGAAAGCCCCCGGCUCAACCGGGGAGGGUCAUUGGAAACUGGGAAACUUGAGUGCAGAAGAGGAGAGUGGAAUUCCACGUGUAGCGGUGAAAUGCGUAGAGAUGUGGAGGAACACCAGUGGCGAAGGCGACUCUCUGGUCUGUAACUGACGCUGAGGAGCGAAAGCGUGGGGGGCGAACAGGAUUAGAGACCCCCGUAGUCCCUGUCUCUUAUAC